GGGGAAUAUUGGACAAUGGGCGCAAGCCUGAUCCAGCCAUGCCGCGUGAGUGAUGAAGGCCCUAGGGUUGUAAAGCUCUUUCGCCAGGGACGAUAAUGACGGUACCUGGAUAAGAAGCCCCGGCUAACUUCGUGCCAGCAGCCGCGGUAAUACGAAGGGGGCUAGCGUUGUUCGGAUUAACUGGGCGUAAAGCGCACGUAGGCGGAUCUUUAAGUCAGGGGUGAAAUCCCGAGGCUCAACCUCGGAACUGCCUUGGAUACUGGGGAUCUCGAGUUCGGGAGAGGUGAGUGGAACUGCGAGUGUAGAGGUGAAAUUCGUAGAUAUUCGCAAGAACACCAGUGGCGAAGGCGGCUCACUGGCCCGAUACUGACGCUGAGGUGCGAAAGCGUGGGGAGCAAAC
rnacentral:rRNA from 1 species